GUCUUCGUGGUGCAAUGGUCAGCACGCUCGGCGCGUAUUCGAGAGGUCCGUGGUUCGAAUCCCGGCUAAGGCA
rnacentral:tRNA from 1 species